CACAGAUCCAGCAUACACCCAUCAAUAGAAGGCAGUAUUCUUCCAGGACCUGUUGGUGUGCUCACAUAUCGGAGCCGUCCACAGUGCACGUCCCUUUGGAGUGAGUCUUCUGUUGGGACGCACGCUGAAAAUCACGCUGUCCUCACCAGCUGUUACAACACAAGCGGCAACUUAUGAAUACAAUCCAUAUCCAUCCGAGCAUAAUCCAAAGGUCUCUGCACACUUCUGAC